UCACUUCACCCUGACAGAGGAGAUAAAAUGAUCAUGAAUGUGGUUUUCCCAAGGUGAGGCUUAUCUGUUGCACUCCCUAAGUGCUGACCCCUACAAUUUCCGCAAAUGUGGGAAAUCUAGCUGUGUAAUUUACGGUAGUGGGGGGCUGUGUUUGUGCUCUCUCCUG
ensembl:snRNA U1 U1 spliceosomal RNA